rnacentral:rRNA from 1 species
GAUCCUGGCUCAGAUUGAACGCUGGCGGCAUGCCUUACACAUGCAAGGUCGAACGGCAGCACGGGAGCUUGCUCCUGGUGGCGAGUGGCGAACGGGUGAGUAAUACAUCGGAACGUACCCUGAAGUGGGGGAUAACGUAGCGAAAGUUACGCUAAUACCGCAUAUUCUGUGAGCAGGAAAGAGGGGGGAUCGCAAGACCUCUUGCUUUAGGAGCGGCCGAUGUCGGAUUAGCUAGUUGGUGAGGUAAAGGCUCACCAAGGCGACGAUCCGUAGCGGGUCUGAGAGGAUGAUCCGCCACACCUGGGACUGAGACACGGCCCAGACUCCGUACGGGAGGCAGCAGUGGGAAUUUGGACAAUGGGCGCAAGCCUGAUCCAGCCAUGCCGCGUGAGUGAAGAACGGCCUUCGGGUUGUAAAGCUCUUUCGGUGGGGAAGAAAUUGCACAGGAUAAUACCUUGUGUAGAUGACGGUACCCGCAUAAGAAGCACCGGCUAACUACGUG